AUGGGGUGCAGCGUGCACCUGAAGGCGCCGGCCGGGCCCGACUCCGACUCCGACUCCACCGGCGCGAAGCUCUGCAGCGCCCGGGUGUUGAGCAGGGACUCCACGCCGGCGGGGUGCCGCAGGAACUCGCCGAUGCCGCCCUGGCCCGGCAGCACGUCCAGGAGCCUGAUGCUCUCCCGCCGCCUCGCCGACAGCCGGGCCCGCCUCCCUGACGGCGUCGUCGCCACCGUCGAUACGGACUGGCCGCGCUCGUCGCCGCGGUUGCUGCCCGCCGACGCGGCUCGCCAUGACCGGCCAAUGCGCCUCAACUUGUUGGGCGACUUGCAUGGAUCGGCUGCUGCUGCUGCUGCCCUUGAUGAUGUCGGGAAUGGUUGGUGUCUGGCGAGGAAGAAGGAAGGUUUGGCUGCUGCUGCUGCAGUGGGCCUCAUCCCACCGCCUGGAUCUUCUAGGACGCAGCGGCUUUACCUGUGCAUGGACAUGGACUCGUGGAGUGACAGAGGGCUCAGGCCUCAGAGAGAGAGAGAGAGAGAGAGAGAGAGAGAGAGAGAGAGAGAGAGAGAGGCAAAGCGGAGCCAGCCACUGAUGGAGCUUAUCGUUUCUGCGCCUGCAUCGAACUCGUCUCUGUGCUAA
rnacentral:rRNA from 1 species